rnacentral:rRNA from 1 species
GGGUUCUACCGUUGGUCGGGCAAUAGUCUGUACUGGCGUGUAGAAUUUCUACCUUCUGGGGAACCAUCAUGUUAUUUAUUUAGCGUGGUGGGAAACCAGGACCUUUACCUUGAAAAAAUUAGAGUGUUCAAAGCAGGCUUACGUCUGAAUACAUUAGCAUGGAAUAAUGAAAUAGGACGAUCGAUCCUAUUUUGUUGGUUUCUAGGAUUGACGUA